rnacentral:lncRNA from 1 species
GGGUUACGUGAACAUUUCAGAAAACUUUAAAUGAUUUCAAUCGAAAUAUUUUCUGUACACUUAAAAUAUUAUUUUUUAUUUCUGCGAGUUGUAACGAAUUCAUAACGGCUGUCGAUGGUCUUAUUUUAUAAAAGAUUUACCCUGCUCUGCGGAAUGUUUGAAAUCUCGCGCGGUACAGACUAAAUGUAAAUAAUAAAUAGAUUGACAGACCUUUUCCCCUCAAAAUAAGGUAUUGCUAUCUAUAUUGUAGUGCCACUUCAACUAUCCAUGGUACUUGCAAAGUAGGCAUACAAUAGGGAUAUAAUUGAAAACAUCCACUUCUUUUGAACUUUGGAAUCAUUCCACAUAUCCUUAUUUUCAUAUAUAUAUAUUAUUUUGUGUUAGAUUUAUUUGUAAUUGUUUCUGUUGUUUUAUUUAUCUCAUCAUUCCGUUUCAACUUCGUACUUCAUUUGGCCUUUUUAACAUUUUCACUGAUGAGUCUUUUGUAGACGAAACGCGCGUCUGGUGCAAAUAUACAAUUAAAAUCCUGGUAUAUAUGUUAGUUGAUUGACAUUGCUUUGUUUAUUACUAACAUCAACAUUUUAG